rnacentral:rRNA from 1 species
UACGAAGGGGGCUAGCGUUGCUCGGAAUCACUGGGCGUAAAGCGCACGUAGGCGGCUUUCUAAGUCAGGGGUGAAAUCCUGGAGCUCAACUCCAGAACUGCCUUUGAUACUGGGAGAGCUUGAGUCCGGGAGAGGUGAGUGGAACUCCGAGUGUAGAGGUGAAAUUCGUAGAUAUUCGGAAGAACACCAGUGGCGAAGGCGGCUCACUGGACCGGUAUUGACGCUGAGGUGCGAAAGCGUGGGGAGCAAACAGG